rnacentral:rRNA from 1 species
ACGGAGGAUGCAAGCGUUAUCCGGAUUCAUUGGGUUUAAAGGGUGCGUAGGCGGCUUUUUAAGUCAGUGGUGAAAUCCUGUCGCUUAACGAUAGAAUUGCCAUUGAUACUGAGGAGCUUGAGUUCAGUUGAGGUAAGCGGAAUGUGUAGUGUAGCGGUGAAAUGCUUAGAUAUUACACAGAACACCGAUUGCGAAGGCAGCUUACUAAACUGACACUGACGCUGAUGCACGAAAGCGUGGGGAGCGAACAGGAUUAGAUACCCUGGUAGUCCACGCCGUAAACGAUGCUCACUCGCUGUAUGCGAUACACAGUAUGCGGCCAAGCGAAAGCAUUAAGUGAGCCACCUGGGGAGUACGAUCGCAAGGUUG